rnacentral:rRNA from 1 species
CCUACGGGGGGCAGCAGUAGGGAAUAUUGCUCAAUGGGGGAAACCCUGAAGCAGCAACGCCGCGUGGAGGAUGAAGGUUUUCGGAUUGUAAACUCCUUUUGUUAGAGAAGAUAAUGACGGUAUCUAACGAAUAAGCACCGGCUAACUCCGUGCCAGCAGCCGCGGUAAUACGGAGGGUGCAAGCGUUACUCGGAAUCACUGGGCGUAAAGAGCGCGUAGGCGGGAUAGCAAGUCAGAUGUGAAAUCCUAUGGCUUAACCAUAGAACUGCAUUUGAAACUGUUAUUCUAGAGUAUGGGAGAGGUAGGCGGAAUUCGUGGUGUAGGGGUAAAAUGCGUAGAGAUGAAGAAGAAUACUGAUUGCGAAGGCGACCUGCUAGAACAUAACUGACGCUGAUGCGCGAAAGCGUGGGGAGCAAACAGGAUUAGAUACCCGUGUAGUC